GAUGAACGCUAGCUACAGGCUUAACACAUGCAAGUCGAGGGGCAGCAUAAUCGAAGCUUGCUUUGAUUGAUGGCGACCGGCGCACGGGUGAGUAACGCGUAUCCAACCUUCCCCAUAGUAGGGCAUAGCCCGUAGAAAUGCGGAUUAAUACCCUAUGUUUUCCUUUGCAGGCAUCUAACGAGGAAUAAAGGUUUACCGCUAUGGGAUGGGGAUGCGUCUGAUUAGGUUGCAGGCGGGGUAACGGCCCACCUGGCCAACGAUCAGUAGGGGUUCUGAGAGGGCGACCGGCCACAUUGGGACUGAGACACGGCCCAAACUCC
rnacentral:rRNA from 1 species